CCUACGGGAGGCAGCAGUGGGGAAUUUUGGACAAUGGGCGAAAGCCUGAUCCAGCAAUGCCGCGUGUGGGAAGAAGGCCUUCGGGUUGUAAACCACUUUUGUACGGAACGAAACGGCUCGCUUUAAUACAGCGGGCUAAUGACGGUACCGUAAGAAUAAGCACCGGCUAACUACGUGCCAGCAGCCGCGGUAAUACGUAGGGUGCGAGCGUUAAUCGGAAUUACUGGGCGUAAAGCGUGCGCAGGCGGUUAUAUAAGACAGUUUGUGAAAUCCCCGGGCUCAACCUGGGAAUUGCAUCUGUGACUGUAUAGCUAGAGUACGGUAGAGGGGGAUGGAAUUCCGCGUGUAGCAGUGAAAUGCGUAGAUAUGCGGAGGAACACCGAUGGCGAAGGCAAUCCCCCUGGACCUGUACUGACGCUCAUGCACGAAGGCGUGGGGAGCAAACAGGAUUAGAUACCCUGGUAGUCCACGCCCUAAACGAUGUCAACUGGUUGUUAGGGUGCAUUAGUACUCAGUAACGAAGCUAACGCGUGAAGUUGACCGCCGNGGAGUACGCGCGAGU
rnacentral:rRNA from 1 species